GUGAAUCAUCGAAUCUUUGAACGCAAAUUGCACUCCCUGGUAUUCCGGGGAGUAUGCCUGUUUGAGGGUCGUUAGAAUAAAAAAGCGAUGCGUCGCUCUUUUGUGUAAUGGUGAUCGCGUCGGAAUGGAGCCGUCUUUCAAAUGUUAAUUCAUGUGAAAGUGGCUUGAAGUUCAUCCAUCCGGUACGAUUGAGGCGUAGUGAAGGUCAAUUUUGAUUGAGAACGCGCGAUGACGUACCAUCCCACGGAUUACGUUUGACCUGGGUCAUCAGGGUCAUUC
rnacentral:misc_RNA from 1 species